rnacentral:lncRNA from 1 species
CCCCACUCACUUUUCACUUCUUUCCAUAAUUCCAAUGGCCUCUCUCUGUGCUUGUCCCCUCAUGACCUCACACAUUUAUUACCAGAUUACCAUAUAAAAACUAUAAAGCCAAACUAGAAUUGUAUAUUGGGACCUGCAUAUCUCUCCCUCUCUCCCUCUCUAUCCAAAAGUAUAAUGAAGUGUUUAUGUACAUGAUUUUCUUGAACUUCAUUAAUCAUUUUCUUUGUAUUUAAGAAAAAGAAAGGAAAAAUGGGUAAGAAAUGGAUCAUUCUACUUGUUACUGUUGUUUUACUUGGUGAGUUCUCAUUAGCUGCUGCUGCUGCC